UAAAGAAGAGAAGCAAAGAAGACUCGAACAAAACAAAAAAACGAGAAAACAGGUCUAUUCUAUUGUCAUUCCUGUUAUCAUCUCGAUUCUCGCUGUUGUAUUUUUGAUUAUU
rnacentral:ribozyme from 1 species